UUUCGAAGGCUUGACCUCAAAUCAGGUAGGACUACCCGCUGAACUUAAGCAUAUCAAUAAGCGGAGGAAAAGAAACUAACGAGGAUUCCCCUAGUAACUGCGAGUGAAGCGGGAAAAGCUCAAAUUUUGAAUCUGGCGG
rnacentral:rRNA from 1 species